GUUCAAGUGAGUCAGGCACAAAAUCCGAAUCAUGCGCUCUCCUUGUUUUUGUUGAUACAGAAUGGAAAGAAUAAUAGCCUAGUUUUUUUAACGAUCAUCUUCAAGAUCGAAUACAAUUGGUCCACUGUCUGCUGCAAAGGUUAUGACUGUGGGCGCAAAUUCUUUUCUCGAAAACCAGAACACGGUCCAAUGGUCAGGGGAGGUCACUCUCUCUGUGUGCCAGUAACAGACACAGACGGUUAACAACCGGGCACAGCAUCAAAGAGCCAAGGUAUGUCCCCACACACACACACACACACACACACACACACAUUCAGGCGCACGCACACACGCACACACACACACACACACACACACACACACACACAGCCCACUCUACGUCUCCUCAGCUCUCUGUCUCCCUCUAACUGAGUGAACGCAUCACUCUGUGCUAAGUGGAAGUCUCACUCACCUCUCAUCCUCUAACGAUGUCAUCCUUCCCUCCGCAACUCACACAUCACACAUCAGUUAGUUAUUUUGGGUGGGGGGGCCGAGGGAGGGGCGCUGACAGUGAGGGAGGAAGUACACAGGAAGUACAUUAGUUAUCAGUCUCUGUCGUCUCCACCUUUUCAGAACCCAUCAGUAUUAAACUGCUCUGGAAGCAGCCCCUCUCUUUUUCCCUCUUAAAAGUCUCCCGCGCGCCACUUUAAACCAGGCCUCAGAUCUAAAUGACACUUCGCACUACACAUGCAUGAAGACAAGUGAAUUAAAUAUUGAAAUAAAAGACAGCAACAAAAAAAAAAGAAAAGAAAAGAGGACAGGAAAAAGAGGAAGAAAGUCAUUGUUCCUGUGGCAGGUCAAAAGGGAUUUAUUGGCAAGAGGAGGAGUUUAGUAAGGGUCACAGGAAUUAGUCUUUCACUUAAAACAUGGUCACAUGAUCUUGUAAGAGUAGGUCGUCUAUGAUCAAGCAGAAUAAUCAUCACAUUCAGCUGGUCCAAAAAGGUACAAUGGAUUCUAAUUUGCAGGACAUCAGUGAACUCUUUUUAUAGAGAACAAUAAACAAAUAUCUUCCUAAAUUUCAUUUUUGUUCAUGAUUUUAAAUGGCCUAAUAUACGCAUCCAAUGUGCUGUGUGUCCCUCCAGCGUCUCCGUACAUCUAGGGGGUUGAAGCGGGAUAAAACAGGAGCAGUG